CUUGGUCAUUUAGAGGAAGUAACGGUCGUAACAAGGUCUCCGUAGGUGAACCUGCGGAGGGAUCAUUACAAGUGACCCCGGUCUAACCACCGGGAUGUCCAUAACCCUUUGUUGUCCGACUCUGUUGCCUCCGGGGCGACCCUGCCUUCGGGCGGGGCGGGGGCACGGGGGGACACUUCAAACUCUUGCGUAACUUUGCAGUCUGAGUAAACUUAAUUAAUAAAUUAAAACUUUUAACAACGGAUCUCUUAGUUCUGGCAUCGAUGAAGAACGCAGC
rnacentral:rRNA from 1 species